CCUAGUCAAUAGUCAAAGGGAUGGCCCGGGACGUUUUAUCAAUCUUUCUGUUGUGUUAACGAAGGCCACUUUUGACUUGUUGAUUAACCAGACCUUCCGAGGAUUUGUCAGAAGUGUCAAGGUGAGAUUAGAGGAUUUGUCAGAAGUGUCUGGUGAGAUUAGAGGAUUUGUCAGAAGUGUCUGGUGAGAUUAGAGGAUUUGUCAGAAGUGUCUGGUGAGAUUAGAGGAUUUGUCAGAAGUGUCUGGUGAGAUUAGAGGAUUUGUCAGAAGUGUCUGGUGAGAUUAGAGGAUUUGUCAGAAGUGUCUGGUGAGAUUAGAGGAUUUGUCAGAAGUGUCUGGUGAGAUUAGAGGAUUUGUCAGAAGUGUCUGGUGAGA